rnacentral:rRNA from 1 species
GACGAACCGUGCGAACGUUGUUCGGAAUCACUGGGCUUAAAGGGCGCGUAGGCGGGUCGGCCAGUCUGUGGUGAAAUCCCCCGGCUUAACCGGGGAACGGCCGCGGAUACUGCCGACCUCGAGGGGGGUAGGGGCGUGCGGAACACUAGGUGGAGCGGUGAAAUGCGUUGAUAUCUAGUGGAACUCCGGUGGCGAAGGCGGCGCGCUGGACCCCUUCUGACGCUGAGGCGCGAAAGCCAGGGGAGCAAACGGG